CUGGGCUUGAGUUCUCUGGUCUUUGCUUCUCAAGUCUUCAGAUCCCUUGCAUGUCCUCCUUGCUGUUUGCAGCUGUGCUACAUGUCCCUGAACUGAUUGUCUUCCUCUUCUCCUAGUGAUGGGGAGCUGGAAUCCAGAUACUCCUCCGGGUAUUCCUCUGCAGAGGCAAGUCCAGAGCGCCUGCUGUACAGCAUCAGGCUGCAGGCAGCGUCACCACCACUGCCACAAUGUCUGGUGCCUGCUGUGUGCACAGCUCGAUUCCACUCUGCUCUCUAGUCUGCCACUAUGCCCUCUUCCCUAAGCAGAGAUAACAGGCAUCUUAGGAUGGCUGUUGAAAUUCAGGAGACUGUAUCUCCUCAGGGCUAGAAGUGAUCUCAGAAGCCCA
rnacentral:lncRNA from 1 species